GAUGAAGAACGUAGUGAAAUGCGAUAAUUAAUGUGAAUUGCAGAAUUCAGUGAAUCAUCGAGUCUUUGAACGCACAUUGCGCCCCCUGGUAUUCCGGGGGGCAUGCCUGUCCGAGCGUCAUUGCUGCCCUCAAGCACGGCUUGUGUGUUGGGCUUCCGUCCCUGGCAACGGGGACGGGCCCAAAAGGCAGUGGCGGCACCAUGUCUGGUCCUCGAGCGUAUGGGGCUUUGUCACCCGCUCCCGUAGGUCCAGCUGGCAGCUAGCCUCGCAACCAAUCUUUUUAACCAGGUUGACCUCGGAUCAGGUAGGGAUACCCGCUGAACUUAAGCAUAUCAAUAAGCGGGA
rnacentral:misc_RNA from 1 species